UACGGGGGGGGCAAGCGUUGUUCGGAAUUACUGGGCGUAAAGGGCUCGUAGGCGGCCUUGUAAGUCAAAGGUGAAAUCCCUCGGCUCAACUGAGGAACUGCCUUUGAAACUGCAAGGCUUGAGGCCGGGAGGGGGUAGCGGAAUUCCCAAUGUAGCGGUGAAAUGCGUAGAUAUUGGGAGGAACACCAGUGGCGAAGGCGGCUACCUGGACCGGUUCUGACGCUGAGGCGCGAAAGCGUGGGUAGCAAACAGG
rnacentral:rRNA from 1 species